AUGGCAAAAGGAGGAAUCAACCAGCUUACAAGGAGCCUUGCUACAGAAUGGGCCCAGAACAAGAUCCGGGUGAACUGUGUCGCCCCUAGCGCGACUAAGACCGACAUGUUAAACAGUCUAUACCUGGAGAUCAUAGAAAACGAGUUGGCCAGGACUCCGAUGCGGCGAGCAGGCGAGCCAGCCGAGGUGGCGAUUGUGGUGUCAUUUCUAUGUAUGCCGGCGGCAUCCUUCGUCACCGGCCAAGUCAUCACCGUCGAUGGUGGUAGGACCAUUAGUGGUUAG
rnacentral:rRNA from 1 species